rnacentral:lncRNA from 1 species
AAUACUGCACGGCCGCAGGAGUCAGUCCUUCUCUUCUCUGUCCUUGUUCACACUCCAGGUGACCUCAUCCAGGCUCAUGGCUUUAAGAUCAAUCUCUCUAUGCUGACCUCUCCCAAAUUUGUAUCUCCAGCCCUGACCUGUCCCCUGAACUCUGGGUUUGAAUAUCCAACUGCCUAAUCAACACCUUGACCUGGGUGUCUAAUAGACACAGCUGGCACAAUAUCCAAAAUUAAACUUUUAUUUUUACCCUAGACCUGCUCCUUCUGCAGCCUUACCAAACUCAGUAAACGAUACCUUCACCUUCUCCAUGCUCAGACCAAAACCAGACAAAGGACUCUUCCUUGACCUGUUUCAUUUACUCACGAUCGACAUUAAUAACCAGCAAGGCUAGACGUGGUGGCUCCUGCCUGUAAUCCCAGCACUUUGGAAGGCCGAGGCGGGAGGAUCACUUGAGUAC